AUAUCAAAGCUCCGGCGGUAUAGGAUGGACCCAACGUCUGAUUAGCUAGUUGAUAAAGCAAUGGCUUACCAAGGCGACGAUCAGUAACCGACCUGACAGGGUGAUCAGCCACAUUGGAACUGAGACACGGACCAAACUCCUACGGAAGGCAACACUGGGCAAUAUCGCACAAUGGGCGAAAGCCUGAUACAUCAACGCCGCGAGAACAAUGAAAGCCUUCGGGUCCUAAAGCUCUGUCCUCAAGGAAGAUAAUGACAGUACUUGAGGAGGAAACCACGGCUAACUACCUGCCAUCAGCCGCGGCAAUACAUAAGGGGCUAGCGUUAUCCGGAAUUACUGGGCGUAAAGGGUGCGUAGGAGGUUUCUUAAGUCAAAGGAGAAAAGCUACAGCUCAACCGUAGUAAGCCUUUGAAACUGGUAAACUUGAGUGCAGGAGAGGAGAGUAGAAUUCCUAGUGUAGCGGUGAAAUGCGUAGAUAUCAGGAGGAAUCCCAGUUGCGAAGGCGGCUCUCUGGACUGUAACUGACACUGAGGCAUGAAAGCGUGGGGAGCAAACCGGAUUAGAUACCCUGGUAGUUCCCGCCGUAAACGAUGAGUACUAGCUGUCGGAGGUUACCCCCUUCGGUGGCGCAGCUCACGCAUUAAGUACUCUGCCUGGGAAGUACGCUCGCACGAGUGAAACUCAAAGGAAUUGACGGGGACCCGCACACGUAGCGGAGCACGUGGUUUAAUUUGAAGCAACGCGAAGAGCCUUACCUAAGCUUGACAUCUUUUUGACCUCUCCUUAAUCGGAGACUUCCUUUUGGGGACAAAAGUGACAGGUGGUGCAUGGUUGUCGUCAGCUCGUGUCGUGAGAUGUUGGGUUAAGUCCCGCAACGAGCGCAACCCUUGCCUUUAGUUGCCAGCAUUAAGUUGGGCACUCUAGAGGGACUGCCAGGGAUAACCUGGAGGAAGGUGGGGAUGACGUCAAAUCAUCAUGCCCCUUAUGCUUAGGGCUACACACGUGCUACAAUGGGUGGUACAGAGGGCAGCCAAGUCGUGAGGCGGAGCUAAUCCCCUAAAAGCCAUUCUCAGUUCGGAUUGUAGUCUGCAACUCGCCUACAUGAAGCUGGAGUUACUAGUAAUCACAGAUCAGAAUGCUGCGGUGAAUGCGUUCCCGG
rnacentral:rRNA from 1 species